CCAAACGACUCUCGGCAACGGAUAUCUCGGCUCUCGCAUCGAUGAAGAACGUAGCGAAAUGCAAUACUUGGUGUGAAUUGCAGAAUCCCGUGAACCAUCAAGUUUUUGAACGCAAGUUGCACCCGAAGCCGUCAGGCCAAUGGCACGUCUGCCUGGGCAUCACGC
rnacentral:rRNA from 1 species